ensembl:ncRNA K08B12.11 ncRNA
AAUACCGUAAACCUCAAUUUGUGCGCUUUUAUCUCCUCUCAACCCCCACUUUCACAAUUUUUCAUGUUCAGUGAAAAUGUAUAGUGGUUGAGGUUGCAACGUCGUCACUACCAGCCACCACCACCACAGUUAGACGACGUAAUAGCAGUGCAGUGAAAAGUGAGAGUAUUCUCUUAUUUUUGGGUGCUUUUGCGGUGCGUUUCGAU